rnacentral:lncRNA from 1 species
GGGAUGGGUGCGCCCCCCACGACCACCUCACAAAGCCCUCAGCCUGCCACGUGCAUCCAUGCAGGAACAGCAGCACCCACUUGAACUCUGGGGUGCCCCAGAAGGAUGAAGGAGCAUGUGGCAGCCUGGUGGCAUGGAGAAGGCCAAAGCAGCCGUGUCGGGGAGCAGAGAGCCGUGCUGUGAAGUGAAAGUGUCCUAAGCAGUGUGCGCUCUUCGUCAUACUGCUCUCCUUCCCAGGGCCGGGCACAUGUGGUGAGAAACAAAGCGAUCUCCACUGUUCCCAAGGCUGCAAUGCUACUCGAUGGUCUUCUGGCAGAAAGCUGCUACAGGGGGACAGAGGACAGUUAUGAGAUGAAGGCUGUGGAGCUGUAACCCAUGCGCAUUUCAUCAAGACAAAAUCCAGCCCAACCUCCCUGGAGACACCAGCCCCCAUGUACAUGGCAUCUUCUCUGCAAGGAAAAAAGUGCCCUAGGACAUCCAGAACACAAUUCAC